CUAUCGGAGAGUUUGAUCCUGGCUCAGAACGAACGCUGGCGGUACGCUUAACACAUGCAAGUCGAACGGUAACGGGUCC
rnacentral:rRNA from 1 species